rnacentral:tRNA from 1 species
CUUUCUUCGCGGACGAACACGCGCCGGGGCUGCGCUGUGCGAUUGCAUCUGCGCUUGUCGCCGGUGCAUGCACGCAAGACCCUACUCCUGAAAAGGAUAGCGUUAGGGCUUGUAGCUCAGUUGGUUAGAGCGCGCGCUUGAUAAGCGUGAGGUCGGAAGUUCAAGUCUUCCCAGGCCCACCACUUUCAUCGAGUGAGCAUUCGUCUUCUGGUUACGGGGCCAUAGCUCAGCUGGGAGAGCGCGUGCUUUGCAAGCAUGAGGUCGUCGGUUCGAUCCCGUCUGGCUCCACCAGAUGGUUUGAUCACCUGCGACUGACCGUCGUCCGCGAAACAUCACUUCGCAUUCACUAGUCUGGAUAGACAGUGAACUGCGUGUUUUCUGACAUCGUAAAGAGGAGAUCGAUCCGAGUUGGGUCGUGUAGCACAUUGCUGCGCGAGCCUUCAUUAUCUCCGGAUCAUUUUCGGCGCUCGCGUCUGACCGCAAGGUUGGCUGCGAGUUGUAAAAUGAUCCUUUUAGCGAAGCUUGACCGCCUCGCUAUCGGAACGAUCUUACGAAGCAAGCUGGUCUUUCUAGUCAAUGUCCGGCUGUGAGAAUAGCGUUCGUCGAGGGCGCGUGCCUUAGAGAUUUCGGUCUCUAGGCAGUUCUUACAGACAACAUUCUGCCGAGUGUGUGGACAUUGAUAAUGAGAGCAAUCAAGU